rnacentral:rRNA from 1 species
ACGGGGGGUGCUAGCGUUGUUCGGAAUCAUUGGGCGUAAAGCGCGCGUAGGCGGCUGUGUAAGUCAGAGGUGAAAGCCCUGGGCUCAACUCAGGAAGUGCAUUUGAGACUGUAUAGCUUGAGUACAGGAGAGGAGAGUGGAAUUCCGAGUGUAGAGGUGAAAUUCGUAGAUAUCCGGAGGAACACCAGUGGCGAAGGCGGCUCUCUGGCCUGGUAUUGACGCUGAGGCGCGAAAGCGUGGGGAGCAAACAG